rnacentral:rRNA from 1 species
GAUGAACGCUGGCGGCGUGCUUAACACAUGCAAGUCGAACGAAGCACUUUAUUUGAUUUCUUCGGAAUGAAGAUUUUGUGACUGAGUGGCGGACGGGUGAGUAACGCGUGGGUAACCUGCCUCAUACAGGGGGAUAACAGUUGGAAACGACUGCUAAUACCGCAUAAGCGCACAGGGUCGCAUGACCUGGUGUGAAAAACUCCGGUGGUAUGAGAUGGACCCGCGUCUGAUUAGCCAGUUGGUGGGGUAACGGCCUACCAAAGCGACGAUCAGUAGCCGACCUGAGAGGGUGACCGGCCACAUUGGGACUGAGACACGGCCCAAACUCCUACGGGAGGCAGCAGUGGGGAAUAUUGCACAAUGGGGGAAACCCUGAUGCAGCGACGCCGCGUGAGCGAAGAAGUAUUUCGGUAUGUAAAGCUCUAUCAGCAGGGAAGAAGAAAUGACGGU